AUUGAACGCUGGCGGCAGGCCUAACACAUGCAAGUCGAGCGGGAACUUCGGUUCUAGCGGCGGACGGGUGAGUAAUGCGUAGGAAGCUACCCGACAGAGGGGGAUACCAGUUGGAAACGACUGUUAAUACCGCAUAAUGUCUACGGACCAAAGUGUGGGACCUUCGGGCCACAUGCUGUCGGAUGCGCCUACGUGGGAUUAGCUAGUUGGUGAGGUAAUAGCUCACCAAGGCGACGAUCCCUAGCUGGUUUGAGAGGAUGAUCAGCCACACUGGAACUGAGACACGGUCCAGACUCCUACGGGAGGCAGCAGUGGGGAAUAUUGGACAAUGGGCGAAAGCCUGAUCCAGCCAUGCCGCGUGUGUGAAGAAGGCCUUCGGGUUGUAAAGCACUUUCGGUAGGGAGGAAGAGUUGAGUGUUAAUAGUACUCAGCUUUGACGUUACCUACAGAAGAAGCACCGGCUAACUCUGUGCCAGCCGCCGCCGUAAUAC
rnacentral:rRNA from 1 species